GUUGUCCAAAGUAUAUACAGUCUAUUGUAGAUAUAUAAGAAAUGCUAUUUCCAGUCCCAAGUCCUAAGAACAGAAUGGUAAAGGAUUCCCUUACCUUCCACCUGUGCCGGUCUGGGUACAACCAAAUGUCAUUUGUGGAGGAUGGUUGUUGUGACGUCCUGAGAGAUCUGACUUUUUAUUUAGAAAGAGGAACGAGGAAACAUGAGUGAGAGACACUGGGAAUCAGAGAGCACCUGGACCAGAGCAGAGCUUCUUUGAAACAAGUAAUGUAGUGAAGUUUUUUUUAGAAACAUGGGUGAACAUGGGAAACAUGGGUGAGUAUUUGACUGAUUUUAACUGUGUGAGUGAUUGAGGUCUCUGAAUUCAUUGGCCGUCUGUGUGUAUUGGAGCCAGGAGGAGAUUGGAGGAAAUCCUACAAGUUCAUAAGCAAACGAGGAGAGAGAAAGAUGGUCAACAGGCAGAGGAGGAUGAACCAGCUGCUUCAAGGCCAUGAAGUUUGGGAGCCUGGUGGUGUCCUUGUGGGACCACAGAAGAAGAAAAAUGUCUAUGCUGGGAUAUGUGGGACCUGCUGAUGACUAACAUGGGUGGUAUCCAGGGGUGAUACCUCUGACACACACAAAGCUGUGUGACCACGACUAUGUUUUAGCUCAGUUGGUCAGCUGGUCUGCUCUUUCUCAAUAGUUUCAGUUUUAUAAACUGUUCUUCCCAUCAGUCAAACACAUACAAAUGAACUAGACUGCCUCAAUAUUUUGUUUUUCCUUGCUUUAUUUGCACAAAUGACUCACUCCUCUUGUGUCAUAUAGUGUGCAUACCAUUUCAGUCUGUGUUCACAAAGCAUGUUUAAUUACACUGCAAGUAUUUGUUGUUUUUGCACAGUUUACCAGAUAAUCAGGAGCCCUUAAUUCACUUUCCUGCGAGUCCUAUAGAUACAUUCUUGGUAAAAUAGAGCUUCCUGAUUCGUCUCAUUUGACCAUUUAAAAGGUUUUAUUGGUUAUGGAAGAAGAGCACUAAAACUUAAUACAAAAUUUGAAUUUUUAAUUGAAAGGCUUUUGAGAAAAAUGCAGUUCUAAGUCAUUGAAAUGUUGGUGUGCUCAUUUGCAGCGCUCUGCUCUGCCUCAGUCUGAAUCUGCUCUCUUACAAGUUUCAAAAGCUCACCCUUGAGGCACCUUUUAAAAUUUGCAAGAGGACUAUUAUUUCAAAAUUACAGCCAUUAAAAGUGACACUCUGCUCAUUGACUGUGUCACAAAAUGUUAAAUGAUCACUGUACAAGAAAUGAAACAUAGCACAAUUAUAGUGAGCAAGAAACAUAAUUUCACACAAUUUUACAAUCUCUUUUCUCUUGGGUGGAUUUGAGCCAGAGUGAGCACUCAAAGACGGCACAGAAAACCUCGGCCUGAACAACAUAGACGGUAAAACAUACUAAGAUCGCCUCUAAAACUGAGUGUGAAGACUGACAAGAAUGAUAAAUAAAGCUCUGCAUUAGAGUUUUAAUAAUAAUAAAAAAUAAAUAAAAUAAUAAUAAUAAUAAUAAUAAUUCAUUUUAUUUGUUCAGUGCUUUUAAAAACAAGACGCUUUACAUAGUACAUAAAACAUAAAACCCAAGGUAAUAAAACAAAGACAUACAAACAGUAGAAAUAAAAUGAAUAAAACAGUUAAAUAUUAAAAGCAAUUUUUAAUAAGUGAAUUUUUAAAAGGGAUUUGAAAGUAGUGAGGUCAGGGCAGUGUCUGAUGGAGGGUGGUACGGAGUUCCAGAGGGUAGGGGGCAGCUUCGGAGAAUGCCCGCUCCCCCCAGGUUCGGUGCUUGGGCCGUGACUUUGGGGUGAGGAGAUGGGCAGAGGAGGAUCGGAGGUUACUGGGGGGUGCAUGAGGCUGGAGCAGGUCGUUGAGAUAAGGGGGGGCUUGAUGAUGAAAGGCUUUGUGGGUGGGAAGGAGGAUCUUGAAUGUGAUGCCCUGCUUGAUGGGGAGCCAGUGUAGACGGAGGAGAACGGGGGUGAUGUGGUCUCGUGAACGGGUGUGGGUAAGGAGGCAGGCGGCAGAAUUCUGGACUAUCUGUAGUUUGUUGAGGAGUUUGGAGGGUAGAGGAGGCUGUCGCAGUAAUCUAACCUUGAGUUGAUGAAGGCAUGGACCAGGGUUCCUGCUGCAGGGAGGGAGAGAGAUGGGCGAAGACAGGCAAUGUUUUUGAGGUGAAAAAAGGCUGAUUUAGUGACCUGUUUGAUGUGUUGUUCAAAGGUGAGGUGGGUAUCAAAGAUGAGUCCAAGGUUGCGGGUGGAGGAGGAAGGAGACAGGGAUGAGUUAUCAGCUGUGAUGAAGAAGGGGGGGAUGGAUUUGGGGCAGAUGAUAUUCAUGUCAGAUUUGUCACAGUUUAGUUGAAGGUAGUUGUUGGUCAUCCAGGUCUUUAUUUUGGAGAGGCAGUUGGAGAGGGUGGAUGGGGUGAUGGAUUCAGUGGAAAUGUAAAGUUGGACAUUGUCAGCGUUACAGUGAAAUCGGAGACCGUGACAACAUAUUUCCAAGAGGAAGGAUGUAAAUAAUGAACAAGAGGGGGCCAAGCACCGAACCUUGGGGGACACCUUGGGUCAGGGGAGCAGUGGUGGAGGAGUUGCUGUUUAUGUUGAUGAAUUGUUGGCGGUUUGUGAGGUACAACUUAAACCAGGAGAGGGCAGUGCCAGUGAUGUAGAUUAAGUCAUGAAGACGGGAAAGGAGGAUGGAGUGGUGGAUGGUGUCAAAGGCGGCGGUGAGGUCCAGGAGAAUCAGGAUGCUAAUAAUCAAAUCCUUAUCAGUGUACAUUAAAUGUAUGUUUUGCAAUCUUCUCUGUUUCUGCCACUCUUGUUGAUCAGCUGGUGUCUGUGUGAGUUGAACAUCCAUUAAAUAUGAAGACAUAAUUACCUAUCAUUUAAAAUAUAACGACACUUCAUAGCAACUCUGAUCAGCUGUAUGAAGGUGUACAAAGUGAACAAGCAACUCUUCAAGCGAGUUUGUCUCUCUUGUUAUUAUUGUUGUGCUUAGACAGCAGCCAGUCAGAUUGGUAAUAUCUUGUACACAGUAAGUUUUGGUAAUACGCAAUAAUACACAAAAAACAAGGAUCAUGCUGUAAAAUCGGAUAAUAUUUUGAUAUAAAAUGAUUAAAAGAUUAGUUUUUUGCUUUGGAAAAAGUGCAUCCAGCCUGCUGCACUCACAGAGAGAGGAGGGAGAGGAGGCAGGGAGAAUAAUGUAUUAGUACUGAUCAGUGUUUUCACACAUGUAGGACCAUAGGGCUGUAAAUUCUUGAGUCUGUUUUCUCUCGAUAAAAAAUACCGUCUUAAUCCUCUUAAGUGAUACAGAAAAGACUUUCCUUUUUAACACCUUUCCAACAACAGCCUGAUAUCUUAAAGCUAACAACGUCACAGACCUCUCUCUCUCUGUGUCUGCUGUAUCCUGAUCACUUUUGGGGGAGAGUGUUAUGUUGAUUGAUGCUUUCCUCGCCAUGGAUUCACUUGCUCACAUGGCGCUCCAGUCCAUCAUUAAUUCUCCACUUCCUGCUGGUACAAGGUUUCCUCCUCUAAACAUCUGUCUAUCAUUCUUUAAAAGUGAGUGGAGAAGAGUUGCCCUGCUGCAACUGAUGAGCAAACUUGACAGCCUGACAGCAUCGAGGUCUUGCUGUUUUCUGGAUGGGUUGCUAAAAUGUGAUGAGAGGCGUUUGGGUGAAAGUAAACAACCGGGUUCCUCUCUGCGCUGUCUUUAACAUAUACAAGCAAAAACCUGAAGACGAUCACAGUUUACAUAUUUCAAAGGAGAAACACCUGUCUUGUAUUCGCUUUAGCUGUAUUUGUGAACUUUGCAGCAGGGCUCCAGGGCCGCUCUGGAGGAAACGAGGAAUGUGUUCUUGUGUGUGUGUGUGUGUGUGUGUGUGUGUGUGUGUGUGUGUGUGUGCACUCAGUGUUUAAAAUGUAGAUUAAUUAAAACAAAAUCAUUUUUGGGAAUCUCCUGAUUUUAUCAUCCCUUUAUUCAGCAUCCCCUUCAGUUCUUCUUCCCGCAGCUGUGAAGUAUUGCAACAUCUUUAUUUCUUUCAUGUCCUAUAGAUGUAAAACAAAAACAGUUGGUUCUCUCCUUCUGCCCAUAAGCAAUGUUUAUUUAUAGGUUAUACAUGAACUGAAUGUAUUUCCUGUAAGUAAUUAUUUCAGGCCCACUGGUCUAUUGUAAAAAACAAAAUGAUUUCUAAAUUGUAUUCUGUUGACAAGGGAGCAUUUAUCAUGUUAAAGAGAUUCCUCCCCUCCAUACUUCUCCACUAUAAUGGAUGUUUUGAGUCAAGGCGUCCCUUUACAAUGAUGUCUCUUUCCCCUUCUAUCUCCUCUACCAGAAAUAUUUGACAUUUGUCUUAAAACAAGGUUGCCCACAAGCAUAGCAGCUUCAUGAAAACUCCUGUUGACGUCAUCCCUGAGCCUCUGUAAGGAUUUGUCCAGCAAGGUUUGCUUUCGUCGUGUCUUUUUCUUUUCGGAACUCUAUGUUUCAUCAAGGACAGAGUCCUCACUUCUGCCUCUCUGUGAAGGUUAUCCACUUUUUUAUGUGGCCGUAACUCACAGGGUCGGUGAAUCAGCAAAAAUGGUGACAUAAAACGAUAGUAACUCACAACGCCUUUCAGCUACGGACCAAAUACUGCCCUCAGUGCCAUAAUACUAAAGGUUAACUUUGAUCGUCAUUGUCGAGCCUUACAGCUGCACGGCUAGCGUCUUUAAUCCCACCACACCCCCUGCUUUAUGAAGAUGUCAACAGUCAUCCAUGUAAUCAUCCACCUCCGAGUGUCCACACCUCCUC